AAUACGCCAAAAAGGAACACGAAAAAUGAUGUCUCAUACGGUUGGUUUCCUCCUUCUACUCGCUUCCGUCAUUCUAAUGUCAGGAUUUCUCGUGACACCGGCUGAAGCAGGGUGUGAUCAUCCUAAUUUAAAAUGCAGUCACGCCCUCGCAAAGAAGUUCUGCCCGAAACAGUGUGGCUAAAGCAAAUUGAUUCCAACGUAGCAGAGGAAUGGUCUAUAGAUCAUCAGGCUGAAUAUUUUGAUUAUAAACAUUUACAUUAUUAUGAUAUUAUUGCAAGUUAAUAAACAAUAGGAUAAGAUGCAUU